GAUGAACGCUAGCUACAGGCUUAACACAUGCAAGUCGAGGGGAAACGACAUCAAAAGCUUGCUUUUGAUGAGUGUCGACCGGCGCACGGGUGAGUAACGCGUAUCCAACCUGCCCACCACUUGGGGAUAACCUUGCAAAAGUAAAACUAAUACCCAAUGACGUCUCUAAAAAACAUCUGAAGGAAAUUAAAGAUUUAUCGGUGAUGGAGGGGGAUGCGUCUGAUUAGCUUGUUGGCGGGGUAACGGCCCACCAAGGCUACAAUCAGUAGGGGUUCUGAAAGGAAGGUCCCCCACAUUGAAACUGAAACACGGUCCAAACUCCUACGGGAGGCAGCAGUGGGGAAUAUUGGUCAAUGGACAAGAGUCUGAACCAGCCAAGUAGCGUGCAGGAAGACGGCCCUAUGGGUUGUAAACUGCUUUUAUAAGGAAAUAAAGUGAGAGUCGUGACUCUUUUUGCAUGUACCUUAUGAAUAAGGACCGGCUAAUUCCGUGCCAGCAC
rnacentral:rRNA from 1 species